rnacentral:rRNA from 1 species
UACGUAGGGGCCAAGCGUUGUCCGGAUUUAUUGGGCGUAAAGAGCUCGUAGGCGGUUCGGCAAGUCAGCUGUGAAAUCUCCACGCUCAACGUGGAGGGGUCAGCUGAUACUGCUGUGACUUGAGUCCGGUAGGGGAGUGUGGAAUUCCCGGUGUAGCGGUGAAAUGCGCAGAUAUCGGGAGGAACACCAGUAGCGAAGGCGGCACUCUGGGCCGGUACUGACGCUGAGGAGCGAAAGCGUGGGGAGCGAACAGG